AUUGAACGCUGGCGGCAGGCUUAACACAUGCAAGUCGAACGAUGACUAACUAGCUUGCUAGUUAUGAUUAGUGGCGGACGGGUGAGUAACAUUUAGGAAUCUGCCUAGUAGUGGGGGAUAGCUCGGGGAAACUCGAAUUAAUACCGCAUACGACCUACGGGUGAAAGGGGGCGCAAGCUCUUGCUAUUAGAUGAGCCUAAAUCAGAUUAGCUAGUUGGUGGGGUAAAGGCCCACCAAGGCGACGAUCUGUAACCGGUCUGAGAGGAUGAUCAGUCACACCGGAACUGAGACACGGUCCGGACUCCUACGGGAGGCAGCAGUGGGGAAUAUUGGACAAUGGGGGCAACCCUGAUCCAGCCAUGCCGCGUGUGUGAAGAAGGCCUUUUGGUUGUAAAGCACUUUAAGCAGGGAGGAGAGGCUAACGGUUAAUACCCAUUGGAUUAGACGUUACCUGCAGAAUAAGCACCGGCUAACUCUGUGCCAGCAGCCGCGGUAAUACAGAGGGUGCGAGCGUUAAUCGGAAUUACUGGGCGUAAAGCGAGUGUAGGUGGCUCAUUAAGUCACAUGUGAAAUCCCCGGGCUUAACCUGGGAACUGCAUGUGAUACUGGUGGUGCUAGAAUAUGUGAGAGGGAAGUAGAAUUCCAGGUGUAGCGGUGAGAUGCGUAGAGAUCUGGAGGAAUACCGAUGGCGAAGGCAGCUUCCUGGCAUAAUAUUGACACUGAGAUUCGAAAGCGUGGGUAGCAAACAGGAUUAGAUACCCUGGUAGUCCACGCCGUAAACGAUGUCUACUAGCCGUUGGGGUCCUUGAGACUUUAGUGGCGCAGUUAACGCGAUAAGUAGACCGCCUGGGGAGUACGGCCGCAAGGUUAAAACUCAAAUGAAUUGACGGGGGCCCGCACAAGCGGUGGAGCAUGUGGUUUAAUUCGAUGCAACGCGAAGAACCUUACCUGGUCUUGACAUAGUGAGAAUCCUGCAGAGAUGCGGGAGUGCCUUCGGGAAUUCACAUACAGGUGCUGCAUGGCUGUCGUCAGCUCGUGUCGUGAGAUGUUGGGUUAAGUCCCGCAACGAGCGCAACCCUUUUCCUUAUUUGCCAGCGGGUUAAGCCGGGAACUUUAAGGAUACUGCCAGUGACAAACUGGAGGAAGGCGGGGACGACGUCAAGUCAUCAUGGCCCUUACGACCAGGGCUACACACGUGCUACAAUGGUAGGUACAGAGGGUUGCUACACAGCGAUGUGAUGCUAAUCUCAAAAAGCCUAUCGUAGUCCGGAUUGGAGUCUGCAACUCGACUCCAUGAAGUCGGAAUCGCUAGUAAUCGCAGAUCAGAAUGCUGCGGUGAGUACGUUCCCGGGCCU
rnacentral:rRNA from 1 species